CCUACGGGAGGCAGCAGUGAGGAAUAUUGGUCAAUGGGCGCGAGCCUGAACCAGCCAAGUCGCGUGAGGGAAGACGGUCCUAUGGAUUGUAAACCUCUUUUGUCGGGGAGCAAAAGACGCCACGCGUGGCGUUCCGAGAGUACCCUACGAACAAGCAUCGGCUAACUCCGUGCCAGCAGCCGCGGUAAUACGGAGGAUGCGAGCGUUAUCCGGAUUUAUUGGGUUUAAAGGGUGCGCAGGCGGAAGAUCAAGUCAGCGGUAAAAUUGAGAGGCUCAACCUCUUCGAGCCGUUGAAACUGGUUGUCUUGAGUGAGCGAGAAGUAGGCGGAAUGCGUGGUGUAGCGGUGAAAUGCAUAGAGAUCACGCAGAACUCCGAUUGCGAAGGCAGCAUACCGGCGCUCAACUGACGCUCAUGCACGAAAGUGUGGGUAUCGAACAGGAUUAGAUACCCCAGUAGUC
rnacentral:rRNA from 1 species